rnacentral:rRNA from 1 species
UGGGGGAAUUUUGGACAAUGGGGGAAACCCUGAUCCAGCCAUCCCGCGUGUGCGAUGAAGGCCUUCGGGUUGUAAAGCACUUUUGGCAGGAAAGAAACGUCGCGGGUUAAUACCCCGCGAAACUGACGGUACCUGCAGAAUAAGCACCGGCUAACUACGUGCCAGCAGCCGCGGUAAUACGUAGGGUGCAAGCGUUAAUCGGAAUUACUGGGCGUAAAGCGUGCGCAGGCGGUUCGGAAAGAAAGAUGUGAAAUCCCAGAGCUUAACUUUGGAACUGCAUUUUUAACUACCGGGCUAGAGUGUGUCAGAGGGAGGUGGAAUUCCGCGUGUAGCAGUGAAAUGCGUAGAUAUGCGGAGGAACACCGAUGGCGAAGGCAGCCUCCUGGGAUAACACUGACGCUCAUGCACGAAAGCGUGGGGAGCAAACAGGAUUAGAUACCCUGGUAGUCCACGCCCUAAACGAUGUCAACUAGCUGUUGGGGCCUUCGGGCCUUGGUAGCGCAGCUAACGCGUGAAGUUGACCGCCUGGGGAGUACGGUCGCAAGAUUAAAACUCAAAGGAAUUGAC